UUUUAUGUUUACUCUUUUUCUUUUUUUUCCUUUUUUGCUCAUUGUUUUAUAUUAUUAAAUUAAAAAUUUAGGUUGGAGUCAGAAUUUGAAAGUUCUAUUCUUCGAUUUAUGUAGAUAGUCAAUUAUAUGGUUUCUGUUUAUAUAUAUAUAUAUAUAUAUUCACAAAGUACGCUUUUAAGCUAGAAUUAAAUCAAGUAAUUUUAUGAUGAUGCCUCAAUAGCCUGGAAUGUGAGCUGUGCUAGUUUUUAUCCUAAAACUACUGGUAUGGGGUUUCCAGUUGUUAUGUUGAUCUUGAAUAAUACUACAGCUGAGGAAGCCCACAAGGAGUGUUUAUUUGUUUUAUUGACACCUGGUCACGAAGCAAAGCAUGAGAUAUCUUUGCCAUGGAUGGGCUAAUGUUGACCUAGUAUGGGGUAGAUAAUCUGUGAAGGAAAUGUAAGAUGGAUAGUCAAACCUUACAUAGAAUGCCGUAUGAGUGGAUCGAUCUCUAUUUAGAUACAGCAUACUGUUUUGUUAGUUUGUUCUUGAGAAACUAUUGUCUUUGUCAAUUGUGAUGAAUUAUAAUAGUUGUUUGAGAGCUCGUUGCUGUGGUCAGGAUUUCCAAGAAGAAAAGGUUAAGGUAGUAAUGGUAAAAGGGAGACUAGGUUUCUCAGUUUGCCCAUGGCUCAUCGAAGAACAGAGGAUUCAUCUGGACAAGCUCCACAAACUUAAUCUCAGGUUCUGUAAACAAGUGACUUGGAAUGGUCACUGGCCCUUUCUUCGUUUUUGGUUCUCUGCCAAGUCGAAAAGAAGAAUAACCUCUUUUGGUUUGUUUCUGACAUUAUGGGUACUUGCAUUUGAGGUUAUCAUAGGAGUUAGCAAGGGCAUUUAGUCUUUGAUGCUCAAGUCCUAGAAGGGGAAGAAUGGAGCGCCGGGAUUUAAAUAGUGUUCAUUGAACAAUAUGGAUAUAAGGGGACUGUAUUGGGGAAACACAAUGAUAUAAUUUAACUUUCUCUAAGAAUCUAGUGUAUUAUUGAGUGAUGGAAACAAUGAAUAAACGCUAGGUAUGUUAGGGAGUGUUUGGUAUGAUAGAAAAAGAUGACUGGACAAGAUAAUUUUUUUGUGAAGUUGUUUGGUGCACUUUGACAGUACAAAAAUCAAUUUUUGUCCGGUUUAAGGUUAUUCUAGGGGACAAAUUUUUGUCCCGCUAAAAGGAUAGAAUAAGCUUGUUCAAUUCUCUGUACAAGAGUUGUUAUUUAUGAAAUGGCUAUGCCCUUGCCAAAAGGUAGUUUACUCA